rnacentral:rRNA from 1 species
UACGGAGGGUGCGAGCGUUGUCCGGAAUCACUGGGCGUAAAGGGCGCGUAGGUGGCCUGUGGAAGUCUGCGGUGAAAGCCCGGCGCUCAACGCCGGGUCGGCCGUGGAUACUCUCGGGCUUGAGCUUACUAGAGGCAGAUGGAAUUCCGGGUGUAGCGGUGGAAUGCGUAGAGAUGUGGAGGAAUACCGAUGGCGAAGGCAGCCUCCUGGGCCAACACUGACGCUCAUGCACGAAAGCGUGGGGAGCAAACAGG